UACGGAGGAUGCAAGCGUUAUCCGGAAUGAUUGGGCGUAAAGAGCGUGUAGGCGGCCAGGUAGGUCUGCUGUGAAAACUCGAGGCUCAACCUCGAGACGUCGGCGGAAACCAUCUGGCUAGAGUCCGGAAGAGGAGAGUGGAAUUCCUGGUGUAGCGGUGAAAUGCGCAGAUAUCAGGAGGAACACCAAUGGCGAAGGCAGCUCGCUGGGACGGUACUGACGCUGAGACGCGAAAGCGUGGGGAGCGAACAGG
rnacentral:rRNA from 1 species